UACGUAGGUGGCAAGCGUUGUCCGGAUUUACUGGGCGUAAAGAGCGCGCAGGCGGUCGUUCAAGUCGCGUGUGAAAGCCCCCCGGCUCAACUGGGGAGGGUCACGCGAUACUGAUCGACUCGAAGGCAGGAGAGGGUAGUGGAAUUCCUGGUGUAGCGGUGAAAUGCGUAGAUAUCAGGAGGAACACCGGUGGCGAAGGCGGCUCUCUGGACGGUGACUGACGCUGAGACGCGAAAGCGUGGGGAGCAAACAGG
rnacentral:rRNA from 1 species